UUUGUUUGUACCAUAUGUAUUUCCAAAAGUGUCUCUUGGGAUUCAGAGCUUCCAAGGUUUCUAAGUUGUGUUCUGUUCUUUUUCAGUGUACCAUUGGGUUUCAGGGAAUUUUUAGGUCACUAAUGAGGCUCAGUCUCUCUUCUACUGAUUUCAUGGAUUGUGGGGUCUUGCCAAGGGUCUCAAUAAGUUUCAGGGUCUUCUCUAAUCUCACAACACAUGAUACGAGUGUUUCCCAUGAGUUUAGUGUUAUCCUUUCUUUCCCUGGGCAUUCAUUGGAAUUCUUAGACAUUCCUAGCAUCUCAGUGUGGUUCAGGAUAUUCCCCAGGUUUUCAAGAAGCUAUUGGUUUUGCCCAGGACCUCAGUGGUACUCAUGGCCUGUGGGAAGUCACUCUGAAUGGACACCUUCCAGUCCUGAGGCAGGGGGCUUUGACCAGUUACUACAUUUCUUAGUGACUUGGGUGUUGUCCCUCCUCAGAUAGCAAGGCUUGGUUCCAGGUGUAGGCAUGCCCACUGGGGUUGAGGUACACUCAGCUUUUCCCUUGUAGUCCUACCCCAUCUGCCCUUUUUUUGAUUAGAACUUUCUAAGAAUAGCAUCCCCCCAAAUAAAAGGCCACUUCCAAACCUGCUUCCCUCUCUCUUGACAGCCUCCUGUGAUUUUUCUCUUGUUCUUCUUUCUGGGGAGCUUGAGUUCAAGAACUGGGGAAAGCCAUCCUGAAACUUGUAAAAGCUGGCACCCAAUGUGGUACCUGGACAUCGAAAACAGGGACACUUCUGGAUGUGUUAAUCAGGGAAGGGAGUAGCUUUUCACCUGGAGCAGGCUGAAAUGUGUCUUUCAUCAGCUGCUACUGAUCCCCAUUGGAUGAAACAUCACAGAUGAAAUUCUACAAACAUUAGGGGAAGUGUUAUUACAAUCAGGACUCUAUGUUGUAACAGAAAAAAAUUCAACCUUACCUCUCUAUCAGUUGUUAAAGAAAUAACACUAUACUGCCUUUUUCAAGCUCUACAAAAAAUUAACAGAAAUUUGGUGCGAGUAAUGGUGAGUCAACCUCCUUUAUCUAAUGUGCCAUUAUCAUUGGUAAUUUUUGUAGGAAAACUUUAUGCCUUUAUAGCAGUAAUUGCUAUUUAUAAUCAAAGAUUGUAUAUAUCAAUAUGGUUACACUUUCCUCAUUUUUUGGCUAGAAUGUUCUGCUUUUGUUGAUAAAUAUGCAUAAUUAACUGCUGAUGGUUGCACUAAAAUUUUAUCUUUCACAGGCAUAGACAUUCAUGUUUUAUAUCUCACUUAUGGAAAAAUUCUACUUCUCCAGUGCUUAAGAUUUUUUCCUACUAUCAAGUUGUAUUUUUUUAGCACCUAUUUCUUUUCACAUAUCUCAUGAUGGGUGAGUCUCUUUCCUAUGUCAGGUUACACACUCCCCCUCUUUCUUGAUCUCUACCCUUCUUCUUGUAGCUGGGUUGAUGUUGUAUACAGAUGGAGGUAAACAAAGUGGAUAGUAUCUGUUUUUAUUAAUGAUAAAUUCCUGGACCUCGGAUGGAAGGUAACACACAGAUGCAGCUGUGAGAUCCCUUUAUACUUUAUUUUCAGAUGCUGUAGAAUCUCAGGAAUGUUUUCAUCAAAAUUCUUGCUCACUAAUGAAGGUGUUUUCCAUUUUUUUCCCAACAGACUGUGCCACUGUCAGUAACUGUUCUCACUGUAUGCCCUUCUGGGACCCCAUAUGGGAAUCUGUAAAUUCAUGAGGGCCUACAGUCUAAUGCACUUUAGGAAAUGAACAUUAUCCAUUUCUUUUCCUUUCAUCCUUUUCCCUUUCUCCAUGUUUCCAUUAAGACUCAUUCUGGGCUCAUUAGGGCUAGUGCCCAUAGAUCUAAAAAGGUACCUGCUUGCAUUUCUUAUUUAUUACUCUGCUUUGCCACUAUGGACAAACCAACUCAUUUAAAAAAUGUAUUCAUUUUUAAAACAUUUGCCCCUUCACAUAUGUCCUAUGCUUUUGCAUAAUUUUGUACUCAUUGGCGACUGUCACAGCUUACAAAGAAAGAAAGAAAUUGGCCUGUGAUGUGGUGAAAAAUACGAAUUACAACUCUAUGGAAAUCAAUAUGCUAAAUGAAGAACAAAAAAAUCAUUUGGUCAUUCUUCACAAUUGGGCUGCAAUUGAUUAUUAUUACAUUAUAAAGUCUGUAAUGAUCUUAAAAAUAUGUCUUGCUUUAUUUUAAGGGACAAUAGUCACUCCAUUUCAGAUGAGUUAUAUUACCUUAUAGAUAUCAUUAAAAAGAUCCAACAGAAUUAUGGAAGUUCAGAUAUAUUGGAUUGCUUAACCGUGUGGUUAACCAAUCUUACUUGGAUUAAACAACUUGUCAUUGGUGAGUGUCUACAGAGAUUGUUGUUUUGUUUUUGAUGUUGUUGAAGCCUACCCUAAUUUUUCCUCCACCAAUAUUGAAAAACAAAACAAAACAGAAAAUAAACCCCAAACAUCAUCCAUCCAAAAGGCCACACAAACUAAAAAACAAGAAGCUAUAAGUGUGUGCUGUGGAAAUGUACUAAACAGCAAGUGUCUCUGUGAGAAAACUCCUGGAGAAUAAGAGGUGUCUUGUUUCCCACAGCUGGAACAUUCUGCAGUUUCUCCCAGACACGAUUACAAUAACUAAUGCAUGCUCAACCAGAACACCUAAUGUACUAAUGGUGCAGUGAACUACUGUAACCUAAUGGUAUAAAUAAAGACAGCUGCUUAGACAAGCAGCCAUUUUGCCUCUGCAUCUUGCUUCCUUCUCCUUUUGUUCCCUUACAGUCUCAGGACCUUCCCCAGUGUCAUAGAUGUGUGCACCAGGAUCUUCAAUGUUUUACUGGUUUCUUUGCCUUCUCAUACAGUCAAUGGAGCUUAGCAACAUUGCCACGUUCACAGUCAUGCAUAGCGCCUGCCACUGAACCUUCAUGAUGUCAAGAUUUUUCUUCAAGAGCAAAUGAACAGGAAUUUAGCAGCUGAAACAAGGAUGCACUCAAGCUGGAGAGCCUGAUGAGGACCUGACAUCCCAUCACUUGUCAUCAUUUCCUGAGCCUCUGCAUAAUCCUCACCACUCUCCAACUCUACCACCUCAUCUGGACCUUGGUGAGAGCCACAACUUCUCCCUAUGACCCUCUCCUCAAUUGAUCAUCCACUCCACACCAGGAAAAGCAUACCUUGCUUCUGGACCUGAUCACUGGGUCUGAGUGAGAGUGCAUCUGCUGGACUUAAAGCCUAAUGCUUGCAGAGGAAAUGUCUGUCAGACUAUCAUGAUUAAGUGUGUUUUUCAGAGCUUAGAAUUAAUCUAAAAUUGUUUGCUGUAAAUUAAUUAAUCUAGAAUUGUUUGCUGUGAAUUGAUUAUGUCUAUUGCGAUGCCUAUAAUUAAGGAUUGUCAUUUUCUUGAUUAAAAAACCUAUAAAAUAAAAUUGCGUGGAGUGAUUUGAGUGAAUAAGCACUGAAAGGGGCAGAAGAGAGUGGGCAUUCUUUACUCCUCCCCUCAACUCCAUACAUCCCAAUUUUGCCCCCUCGUGACAAAGGUGAAAGAGUGUGGCAGAGGGAACAAACUCACAUAGCCAACUGAAAGCAGAAGAUUACUCCAUUCACCAGAUAAAAAUAUAUAUAUAUAUCAGAAAGCCAUGCCUCAAAAGUCCCAACUCCUCCAGCCACACCUCAACAGCCUUCAGUGACCACUCAGUUAAUCCAAAUGAGGGGACUGAAUCACUGAGGAUGUUGAGGCUCUUAAGACACAAUCAUUUCUCCCCUGAACCUUCUUGCAUUGUCUCAUGUGUAAAGGUUUGGAGUACACCUUACACCAAAACUAUAACAAAGUUGUGGACCUUUCCCAGGGUCUCCUUGAAUCUCCGAGAUUUUUGAGAUCAACAAUGAAGCUCAUGUCUUCCUCAUGCUCAUUAGUGGUCUUCAGUGCCUUCCACAGAACAUCCACAGUACUAAGGAUACACUGAAAUUCAGUGUGACUCAGAGCAGUGUCUCUAGGCAUUCAGGGUCUUCACAGGUAUCUAAUUUGGGUGCAGGACUCUUCCCAGUGUAUCACAGGAAUUGAAAGAUUUUGCAGAUCUCUAAAGAGCCUCACAGCAUUUCAUGCUGAUUCAGUGGAGUGUGACACCUUGCCCAGGGCAUCAGUGUGUUUCAUGGUCUCCUCUAGUUUCACAGUCAUGCUCAGGGUGUUUUCCCAGAGACUUAAUGUUGUUGUUCUUUUCCUUGGGUAUUCAUGGGUGAUGUCAGAAAUUUCCAGCAUCUCAGUGUGGUUCAGAAUGUUCCUCUAGGUUUUUAAAGAGCCAAAAGCCCUGCUUAGGGCCUCUGGGUACCUCAUGGCUAUUACCAGGCUCUCAGUGUUUCUCAGGGUCUUUUGCAGUAUCUCAGUCAUAUUAAGUGCUAUUCCCAGGGUGUCAGCUGGAAUUAGGUAGUUCCUCAAGGGUACCAUGUUCAGAAUUUUUGCCAGGGUCUCAGAAAAUAUCAGCACCUGUGUCUAAAUGGGAUUCAGGGAUUUUCCCAGUGAAUCACUGGAAUUUAGAGCUUCUCCAGGUCAGUAUGAGACUCGUGGCCUUUCAUAAGCAUUCAAUGGACUGUGACUCUGUUCUUUUCCAGAAUCUCAAUAAGUUUUAUGGUCUCCUCUAUUCUCACAGUCAUGUUCAGGGUGGUCUCAAAGAGUCUCAGUGUUCUCCUUCCAUUCUGCCGGAAUUCAGUGAAUCUCUCAAACAUUCCCAGAACCUCAAUAUGGUUCAGGAUGUUCCCCAAAUUUUCACAGAACCAAAAGCAUUGCCCAAAUCAUCAGUGGGACUCAUGACCAUUACUGGACUCUCAGUUUUUCUCAGAAUAUUUUGCAGUGUCUCAGUCAUGUUCAGUGCUCUUUCCAGAGUCUCACCUCAGCUUAAAUACUUCCCCACUGACACUGAGUUCAGUGUCAGUAAAUCUCAGCCCCUUUUCCAGGCCCUCAGUGGAGUUCAUUUUCAUUCCCAGGGUCACAGUUGUUCCCAGGGCCUUCUUCACAAUAAAAUUGGUGUCAUUGCCUUUCCAAGCAGUCAGUGAAGCUAUAGUUUUCCUAGGUUACACUGAUGACCAGGGUUUACCCCAUUGUCUACCUGACACUCAGGGCCUUCUCCAUAAUAUCAGAGGAGCUCAGGGGCUUUUGUUUUAAUUUGUUUUGUUUGUCUCAGGAGGGCUCAAGGCCUUUCUUCAAAUUUCAGUCAUGUUUAGAAACCUCCACAUGUUCUUCAUGGUGCCCCGAUUAUUGCCAAUGCUUAGAAGAGGCUGGUGGCCUA